rnacentral:rRNA from 1 species
UGGGCUACACACGUGCUACAAUGGUUGGUACAACGAGUUGCGAGUCGGUGACGGCGAGCUAAUCUCUUAAAGCCAAUCUCAGUUCGGAUUGUAGGCUGCAACUCGCCUACAUGAAGUCGGAAUCGCUAGUAAUCGCGGAUCAGCACGCCGCGGUGAAUACGUUCCCGGGCCUU